rnacentral:rRNA from 1 species
CCUACGGGAGGCAGCAGUGGGGAAUUUUGGACAAUGGGGGCAACCCUGAUCCAGCCAUGCCGCGUGAGUGAAGAAGGCCUUCGGGUUGUAAAGCUCUUUCGGCCGGAACGAAAUCGCGCACGUGAAUAACGUGCGUGGAUGACGGUACCGGAGUAAGAAGCACCGGCUAACUACGUGCCAGCAGCCGCGGUAAUACGUAGGGUGCGAGCGUUAAUCGGAAUUACUGGGCGUAAAGCGUGCGCAGGCGGUUCGCUAAGUCAGACGUGAAAGCCCCGGGCUUAACCUGGGAACGGCGUUUGAAACUGGCGGGCUCGAGUACGGCAGAGGGGGGUGGAAUUCCACGUGUAGCAGUGAAAUGCGUAGAUAUGUGGAGGAACACCGAUGGCGAAGGCAGCCCCCUGGGCCGAUACUGACGCUCAUGCACGAAAGCGUGGGGAGCAAACAGGAUUAGAUACCCUGGUAGUCCACGCCCUAAACUAUGUCAACUAGUUGUCGGGGAAGCAAUUCCUUGGUAACGCAGCUAACGCGUGAAGUUGACCGCCUGGGGAGUACGGUCGCAAGAUUAAAACUUAAAGGAAUUGACGG